rnacentral:rRNA from 1 species
UACGAAGGGGGCUAGCGUUGCUCGGAAUUACUGGGCGUAAAGGGCGCGUAGGCGGCACUGUUAGUCAGGCGUGAAAGUCCUGGGCUCAACCUGGGAACUGCGCUUGAUACGGCAGAGCUAGAGGAUGGAAGAGGGUCGCGGAAUUCCCAGUGUAGAGGUGAAAUUCGUAGAUAUUGGGAAGAACACCGGUGGCGAAGGCGGCGACCUGGUCCAUUACUGACGCUGAGGCGCGACAGCCAGGGGAGCAAACGGG